CCAUUUGGAUUGUCACGUAGGA
rnacentral:siRNA from 1 species